CUUUGUUUGCAUUUAAAGCCCAAAAGUGUGGGAGAUCUUCUACUAACUGGCCUCUCUCUCCUUUCCCUCCCCUAAAAAAGGUCUGUAAGUAUUCAAUUAUAAUUGAUUAAUGGAAACUAGCUUUGGCAUCAGUGGCUGGUGGUGAGUAAGAAUAUAUUCUCCAUAGUUUUUCCUAAGCAGAACAGCAGUAGCACCUGCGUGACCAUUAGUGGCAGUAGAUCAGUAAACAGAUGGGUCAACACUAGAUGGAGCGGUCUCAGCAGCUGAUGGGACAGGCUGUCUGUCAGCUUGUAAUGGUAGGAAGAGGUUACAAUUGUGAAAAGAAACAUUUUUCUCUGGCUAAAGCCUGCAUGCCAAUUUCUGGUUCCUUCUACGCAUUCUGCUACAGCAGAGCACUUUACAACAGCUGCUCUAAGUAGAUAUAUGAAAGUGUCUAUGGAAACAUUUAGCUCUGUCAAAAGCAGAGGUGUGCAUCUAAGCUGAGUUUGCCCAGAGCUGGGUGUGCUGAGGCAGACGGCAGUGCUGGGAAGGUACGUGGCUCUGACUUGAGUUCAGUGAGGUGAUGGGAGUAGGAAUAGGUGAGACACCUGUUCUGAGAGGUGCUGGUUUUUAAGGAGAUGGCUAGUAAUUGCAGCCUUACCUGCUCCUGCCUUUAGUAUGGCUGUGCUUGCUGAGGGGAGCAAAGGGCAGAGCCAGCUUCAAGGGCUGGCUGGUCUGAGGGGGGUUUUUACAAAUGAGGAAUAACUGGCUUCCAAACCGACUCCAUAGAUGGGCUCUGAGUGUACGUACGGGUGGGAACUCCUAUGGGGAGCUGCUUCCCUCAAAGCCUCUUCCUUUAAGCAGAGGCGAGGCUGAAGGGAUGGCUCAGGCCCAAGAUAACGGGCAUAAGCACAGCGCUUGUUUUCCUGAAUUCCUGUCCUGCCUUCCAAGACCUGGUGCAAGGCUGGAUUGCAGUUCCCUCCCAGUUUGUUCUGAGCAUCUUGCCGAGCAGGGGGAUCGUGGCCAGCCAUCUAGCCGAUGAAAUUAUUUCUUUGAAAAGGAGCUUUCACGUGGGUAGGGGAAUUUAUCACAGCGCCUAGCUGGAACAUCUGUGGGUGCAAGAACAGGAUUACUGUAGCUGGCAUUUCCCCCACAGAUCCUCCCCUUGUAGGACACCACCUUGCUGGGAAACCUUUAGAGUAGCUAAGAAACAAGCACUAAAAAGUAGACGUUUUCCUUCUCAAACCCUGAGCUUUGGUUUUUGUGUAGUGGAACAUUAAUUGCUUGAGCAUAGUUUCAGUUUGUAGCUUGCUCAUGCUCCCAGAAGCAGCGGCAGUGCUCUUCCCCUAAACCAGGUAAGGUCUUUUCUUAACUGCUAACAGUAUUUCACUCUUCUGCAGCAAGUGAUUAAUUUCCAGUGAAAAUUUAAUCUGCUUCCUCUCUGAGCUAGGAUUUCCUUUACGCUAUUUUAAGUUUCCACUAUUUGGUGCACAUUUGCUCUGCCCCCUGCCUUGCCAGCUUUCCUGUGUACUUGCUCUUGGCUCAGCAUUGCAGCUAUCGUUUGUACCUGUUGCUGUCUCCCUGUGUCACUUCGCUCCUGUGACAUACUCCAAGUUCACUUGAUUCCUGUACUGUGUGAGUCGCACUCAUGCAGCGAGGCCAGUAGCUCUUGACGAGCUUUGUACUGAUGAAUGCAACGUUUGGGUCCGGGGGCGUAGGAGAGGCUCUGUGCUUCCUCUGUGGCAUUUUAGAGGCUUGAGGUCUCUAAGAAGUUUGUUCUUCUCUGCUGCCCCAAAGCAGGACAUGAGGGGACCAGCCUGUAUGGUAAGCCAUCCCUGGAGCAGAAUGGUUUUCUGCUGCAUUUGGAGUGGAGAGUUACCUACCCGCAAUACAGGGCCUUUCAGUGCAUAGUGGAAUUUUUUCUGCUUUUCACCCCAUUAGAAAAGGAAAUUUCCUGCCUUGUGCAGACAAAGAAGGGAAGGGCAGACAGACAGCCCUCUGCUCUCUGUGCAUACACAUGCAGCCCUGCCUUUCUGUAAACAAGUUUGUUUAACAUUCAUCAGAACCGCAGCGCUCUGUGCUGCUCCACACUCGAGCUCCUGGCGCUUGCACAUCACAGGCUGCCCUUUGUGCUCCCUAUGAAGGCCUCUUUUCAUCCCUGCCCUGGCCCUGUGCCCACUCUGGCUACCUGGGGCUGGACAGCCCGUUGCUGGCCUCAAGAGUUCACCCAGCCCCUGCCCUGCCAUCUCAGCACCUUGUACUUUGUGUAGCAAAGCCCUUCACGGUGGGCAGAAGCAGAGUCUGCCUUGGAGAGGGCUGCAGCUGAUGCCAGCCACGCAGACCCAAGGUCCAGAAUGAGUCUUCCCGUCCUCGUUGGAUUUAAUUUUAUCACAGUGGGGACUCAGCUACCUAGUGCCAAAAGACUCUAAGCGCUCAGGAGUUCAGCGAGACAUGAAGGACCUUGCUGGCAGCUGAGGUUCCUAUCUGGGUGUAGCAGUCAGAGCACUUUUGGGGUGCUGGUGGGUUGUGUACCUUGAUCUGGCUUCUUGCCCAGCCAGUCUGCUUUCCUGGAUGGCGUGGUCAGAGCUCUGCGACUGGAGACAGCGUGAAUUUCUCCUCCGAGUUACUGAGCUUUUUCCAAUAUCCCAUUUGUCAGAUGGGCAAACAACCGACCAAGUCUUUAACCCUCUUUGUCCACGUCAUCUUGGUGCAACAGGAGACAGAGCUGCUUCAAGGACUUUCUGCACACCGAAAUCUUCUCCACUGUUGCUUUCUCCAAACCCAACUGGCACAUAGGCCUAGAGCACAGGAGGCUUGUGAAUUGUUGAUUUUUAUUUUUUUCUAUCAGCAAAACCAGUUUCAAUUCAUAGAAUGGAUUCAGAGCUCCAAGUGAAAUGGAAGUUAGUAAAAAGCCUUUGCAAGGCCUUGGCUUCUGAAUCAUGUAUAUAUUUGGUAUCUAAACUCUUAAUGUGAGCUCAUGAAUUUCCUUGUUUUCAGCUAAUGUGGAAAUAUGUUAUACUGCAGUAGUACAUCAGAAUGCGUACAGGAGAAAAAAGCAGCAGAGCAGGAGGUGGUGUGCAGAAGGAAAAUGUACAGGAGAAGACCUUGUCCUUGGACAUCUUUCUGUAGUGUCUUCACUCUCAACAGUAGGAGAACAAAAGAUUAUUAGGAAGUUUUUAAAGUUAAGUACUAGAAUGCGAGAAGUAGUAAAUAGUUUUUUUCAGGCACGUUUCUUAAAAAAAGAUGCGGUUGUUCCAACAGGUCUGUCCAGACUUAGAGCAGCUCUUUGUAGUCCAUUACUCAGCCUUGCUCUGCACCAACACUCCUUAUAAAUUACUGACACUAGUAUCUGCUCCUGACUAAGGUUACUGGGUUGGAGGUGGAGAGUGAGGAUGAUGAGGUGCUGAAACCAGCUUGUACAAGGAGGAGUAUUGGUCAUGGGUGAGUAGUCUCCAGGGAUGAACGUGUUAGGCGGCCACAGCUGCCUGCCUUGAGGUCUUGCAGUCUGCUGCGGGGAGGUUCUGGUUGUUUGGGGCUAUCUUGAAGGAUCCGUCAGAUUUGAUCGGUUUCCUCAAGAGCUAUCGCUUGUGGAGACUCUUCCAGUCUUAUUUUUCAGCCACCGAGUAUCUGGGGCACUGGCUACCAUGUCACUGUGCUUGGCAGGUCACCCCACUUUCUUCUUGCUGAGCACGGAAAUAGCAGUUUCGUCAAGUUUCCUUUGGUGUCAUCCCUUCUAGAUCUCGCUGCAGCCCAUGUAGCUCAAGUCCUGCUGGAUCCCUGCAUCAUUCAGAAAACUCAUGGUGUAUUUCUUUAUGGCGUAGUAACUGGAUAAUUUCUUACCUUUUCUUGCCCUCAGUUGUAACUAACCUGUGCUGGAGAGAGGGAGAAGACACAGUGCAGUAUAGAUAUUUCCCUAAAAUAAGGCAAUCUGUAGCGUCAACAUAUGGGAAGGAAGAGGAGCUAUCUUCCACCUGGCCUGUUGCAAAACACUGGAAUACUUCUAGUUCCUUUUUCCCAGGCUCCAUCUCUGCCCAGUAAACCCCUGAUAACUAAGAUUAUUCCAAGUCUUUCUCUUAAGUGCUCCCAAGUUCUGGUUUUACCAAGUGGAUUUCACUGGUAGCCUGUGAAGCAACAGUUGCCCUGGGUCUGUGCUCUAGUGCUGAGACAGGGUUAAUGCUGGGGGAGAGCUUGUUUGUGCCAUGGGGUCAAGGUUUCUCUCCCUUCAGAGCACCCGGUGCCGAGGCACAAAGCCUCAGCAGUGCUGGGGUUACCCAUGUGUGUCAGCAGCCUGGUAGCUCCUCCAUGUGCCUGCCUGCUGCCCCUGCCGAGUUGCUCCAGGGCAAACAAACCAUGUGAGUGCACCAGGUGGGUUUUCCUAGAGAUAGGACUGGUCCAAAGGCUGAUGCCAGCACAGCUAAUGCGUCGCUCUCACCCAUAUGUUAAACAUCUGGUCUUGUGAUGGACAAUGUGUUUUGAACAUGUUUCUCGGUAGUUCUUUAUUUCUACAAAGUUCUUGGGUGAACAGGAAAACCAUGUGCUACCUUGCCUUUGAUAUUUGGUUUCCAACCCUUGACUGUACCCCCUCACUUGAGAUUGCAAUGCGUUUGGGGUUUUUGCGCAAGUAAAAAAUGCUGUGCCCUGCCCCAAGGCCACAGAGGUCCUGUGAGACCUGCCCUUUCCCUGUGAAAGGCUGCCACCGGAUCUGGAGCUGUCACUUGGGCAUUUGUUCAGGCACAUAGACUGCAUCCUCCUUGUCGCAGUCAGGGUGACAGUAACUGUGCAGGUGGGCAGGCCUGGCUGCUCUGGUGCUGCUUUUCUUGUAGAUUGUAUUUUGAGCCCCAGCCUCCUGUUUGUGCACAGAGAAACUGAACCCAGGAGGGAGAGGGACUUGCGGUGGCCACACAAAACGUUGGCAGCAGAGCAGAGAACUGAAUCUCCUGAAUCGAGUCCCAUGCCUGUACCUUAGAGCCUGUCUGGUCAUAUUCCAGUCACCCUCAUGUCCCACUUAGACACGUGAAACCUUAUUGAUUGUGUGUGUUGGGCUUUGGCGCCUAACCCACGCUCUGUCCUUCCCCCUCGCCUUUCUUGCUUUUACCAGAGGACUGAAAUGGGAGUGUGGCAUUUAAUGCUUCUAUGGUAGAGAUCUGCUGCUCUCAGCCAGCGGCAGCCCUGUGGAAGGGAGCAGGCGUGACUUCCCCAUUGUUAAAGAAACCCGCUGGAUGGGGAGGGGAUGGUUGGAUGGGUGGUUGGGCUUCUCAAACAGGCAGGAAUGGAGGCAUGUGAGGACACAAGCUGUUAGUUUAGGAGGGAAAAUCAAAGGCGAGUCUUGGAAAGAAAAGUGCUGGUUAAAAACAAGCUCUCUCCAAGGCUGCAGCAGUUUGCUCUGGAGAGACCUGCCUGCUGGCAGCUUUCUCUGGGGCUGGUGCUUGCAUUUGGUGUUGUGGUCCCCCACCCUGUGGGCCUGCUGCAGGGCUCUCAGCAUCUGCUCUAGCAGCAUUGAGGUGCAAGAACCGAAAAGGAGACCCAGCAGUAAGCCCUGGCUCUUGGUGAUGUUCAGAUGCAGGUAUUUCACUUCAUGCGUGUGCACGACUGCUGCUGCUUCUGAGCUGAUAACUCCUGUUAGUGAGGCACUAGACCUGACUGAAAGGAGUUGUGUUUCCCUUGGUUGAAGCGCCGUUAAGAUCAUCUGAGCUAAUGCCUUUCCCCUGGUCAGAUGUGAGGGGUACACCCAGCUCUUUUGGCUUUGGAGAGAAAAACAUUCCUGGGAAAUGCAACAGUGGCGUCCUCCCAGCGUGGUGUUCUCUUGCCAGAUGGGAAUGGCUGCAGUGUUGGUGCUGGCCCCGGUGGUGUUGACACAGUCAGGAAGGUUGUAGCUGGAGUGUAGCUCUUCUGUGCAGAGUUUCUCCACUUGAGAAAGCAGCCUGGAACCGGGGCUUCAAAAGCAUUACGUACGUUUGGUCUGUGCCUAACCCAACAGCUACCUAAUGCCACCAUUGCUAACUAAAUGGCUCUGGCUCUGCUCAGUUCCUUUCCCUGUUGUUCUAACUACAUUUACCCACUAAAUUCUGUAUUUCCUCCUGAUCUGUCCUCUGGUAGCUAAACCACAGUAUUUAUAGAAGAGAGGUCCACUGGAAAUGGCACUUUCUGGAAGAGCCUCCGGAUGGGAUGUGAGUCUCCAGCUCUGCUGGUUGGUUUUGCAGGACAGGUUGGGAAGGGCCCUGCAAAGGGCUCAGGUGUUUCUGGGGAGCCCUCGUGGAGCACAAACCUCUUGUGUGCUCAUACCGGGGAUGCGAGAUGCUGCCUCUGAUGCAGUGACCACAGAUGUACCAAGCGGGCAAGGAUGUGGUAUUCACGGCGACUCCCAGCUUCUCCCCAGGGUGGGUCAGCCAGCCAGAGCGGGCUGGUGUCGCUGCCUGGCUUAACUGGCACAGGCCUCAAAAUGGGGGCUAAUUUGUCUCUCUCAUUGCUCAUUGGGCCAGACCCAAUGGGUUUAAACCUGGCAGCUGUCUCGCUGAAAAUCCUCUAGCUUUUGUGGCUGUAGAAAGGACUUUCAAAACUAGUCUAGAACCCUGGUGUGUUCCUGCAUCUGCAGGCAGCCUCAAAUAGCUCCAGGGAUGGUGGGAGCUACUCUUUGAUGUGAGCCCUGUGGUAAGUCCUAUCAGUGGGUUUGUACAGGCAGCAGAGGUGAGCGUUUUGGUGUUGGUCCUCCUGUUCUUUUUGAUGCAGGGCUCCUACAGGAGAACAAAGUGUGGUAGAGCCCAUUAGCGUCGAUUCCUCAGCUCACUCUCCCCCCACGAAGUGCUGGCUGCCUGUGGGAGGUAAGGAGGGCUCUGGGUACUUAAAGCUGGGGCUGAUGCUGCCAAGAUAGGCUGCUGCCACCUCUCUUGCUGGGUCAGGGAGAGUCUGGGACAAGUCUUCGAGUGCCCCUGGUACACCGAGAGACACUGUGCGAGAGCCGGGGUGCCUGGGGAUGCCUCUGUGCCUUGCCCCAGGGAGCCCAGGCUGCUUGCUCCGGUUCCUGUGAUGCCCUCUUCCCGGCCUUGAUAACCACUGUGUCAGUUCAGGUGGGCCUUGGUGCUGGAUGCUGUUCGUUUUCCUCCCCCUCCUUUUUUUCCCCAUCCCAGCGCAACAUUCCCAGCGGUUUCGGCAGGGAGCUGUGGAAUGUCUCCUGCUCCCAUGGGGCUCACCUGAACAAGCAGGGCAUUGACAGUGCUCAGCUGAGCCACACACAGACAGGCAGGGCUUUCUGGUUUGGUCCCUGACCCCACAGGGGGAAGAAAUAACAGGAGGUGAAUGGUAACAUCAAACAGAGCCCGGCCCAGCUUUCAUCUCCCCGGCAUGGCGUGGAGCUGGGGCAGAGGUAAGUUGAUACUCUGGGGCUCCUGUCUGGGGGAGCGGUGUCCUGCGCAGUGGCAGCGCCUCUGGCAUCCUCUGCUGCAUAGGUUGGUGGUGCAGGACAGAAAGGCCCCGAGAUGCUGUGAAUUUGGCCAGCACAGGUGGCUGGGUGGUCUCUGCCUGUUUCAGGAAUGUGACAGCCCCUCCCAGGCCAGUCCCAUGGGCAUCCAUGAGCACACUGGCUGUGGAUGUUCAUGUGGGGCCUGUUUUUGCACAAGCAGAGGUGGCACGGUUGUGGGGAGCUCCCUGUCAUCCCCUGGGUGCUGUAUGUACACCAGGUUGCCACAAAAGCCUAUGGCAGUGUGGUUUCACCCCGGGGCACGGGCAUUGCCUUCAGCUGCUCUGGGUGUUGGUGUUCUGCGGAGGUGGUGCCCUCCCAGAGGUGGGCUCUGCCCCACUGGGUUUCUCAGCCCUCGGGUCACCCUCCAUCCAUCCCGGCACACUCGGUAGGCGGCUGGAGCCCAGGGACCUGCUGAGCUGCUGCUGUCACCAGCAGCCUGGCCGGGGCCACCCAUGCCCCUGAGUGACCGUGGGUGCUUGUCUCCCAGCAGAGUACCCGCAGGGCCCGGUCCCCACCCUCUGGAACGAGCCACCCGAGCUGCCCUCUGGAGCUGGCCCCUUCGAUGCCGCCACCACCACACCCCAGCUCUCAGACGCCACCGCCUUC